CGCCCCCUCUCCCUUCCCCGCCCCCCCUCUUGCCACCCGCCCUUUGCCAAAGCUCCCUAGGCAUAGAAUGUAGGACAAGAUUCACAUCCUUUUUUUUUUUUUUUUUUUUUAAGAAAAACUUGGUAGUCUCAGUUUUGUUUUUUUGAUUCUUUUUAGCUCUAAAGAUUAAGGGCAGCGCCCCGGUUCUGUCUUGCUAAUUAGACUUAAGAGCCUCUCCUGCCUCAGUGCUUAGUCGGCGGAGACACCUGCUGAGGGGAGGCGCUCCUCCCGCUAAAGUCAAACCACAGGGUCCUGUCUUCGGUUUCCUGGCUCGAUGUGGGCGUGUUUAUAUGUAUGUGUGUGUAAUAAUAUAUUCCCCCCCCCUCCCCCGCUCGGCCACAGCAGCAUCAGUUGGGAUAUCCGAAGGUCAGAAAAUGGCUAUUGAUUAAUCUAUCAGAAUAGUUGCAGAGAGAAAUAAAAAGGACGUAAAAUAACGGAGAACCUAUAAAUAAAGCCGCAACUAGCUGCUCGGAGUUGUUAAACGACUUAGCAUGUGAAAAAGUCGGAAAUGAGGCGCUGGGGAAGGAGCCGGCAUUGGCAGCGGCCUGGGUAAGUCGAGUGGGGACGGGAAGAGGCUUCGGGCCUCUAGGUUAGACGCCGCGCCCUGUUUGGGAUGGCUGACCUCAGGGGGAGCGGGCGGUGUGACUUCUCAGGCUUCUGGGCCCAGCCUCCUGGGAGCGAGCUUGUUGGCGGCCUAGACUCUCCUUGCGGCUAACUAACGUGGAUUCUUUCCCCUUAGGGUAUAGACAAACCCUCCAAGAUUUUAGUUCCUCAGAGACCGGCAGCAGAGGAGGUGGAGGAGGAGGCGAGGAUAUGGCCAGUGCACACCGAGUUUCUUUGGCAAGGAAAGUCAGUGAUGGCUCCGAACCAUUUACGAUACCUUCUAGACAGCUUCCUGCAAAACCGACUGCAGCGGCGAACUGGCUGCCCGCUGUCCCUCGGCAGCGGAGGUCCCGGUGAAACUGUCUCAAAACCCAAUAAUUACAAAAAGAACGUCCGAGGGGCACGGAAAAGAAACUGAAUCCACAAAUUCCCUUUGCUCAGCUUCGGUUGUCCAGCCCCAGAGGCAGGCGCGGGCCGGCAGGAGCCCCACCGCAGCCUAGGAGGCUGGGCCCGCGUGGACGCGUUGCACGUGUGUGUGUACGCGCGG
rnacentral:lncRNA from 1 species